rnacentral:lncRNA from 1 species
CCCUUCAAUGUUGCAGCCCUUGAUGCCACGUGGAGGGCCAGGAGCGGGUCCGCGGCGGAGAAGCCCAGGCGGCGGAUGGGGCGGAGGCGGAGGGAUGCGGUGGUGGUGGUGGCGGGGGAGAGGUGGAUGAGGGAGGAGCGGGUGGAAGGGGUGGAUGAGGUGGUGGUGGAACGGAGGAGAGAGAAAGUGGUGUGUGGUGCUGCUGAGGCCAUUUUAGAGAGAGAAAGUGGUGUAUGAAAGAGAAUGUGUUUUGUUUUUUUGGAGGGAUUAAGGAAGAGUGGUUAUUAUGUUAAUAGGGCAAAGGGAGUGAAGUGAAGAUGUGGACUAAGAAAAGAAUGGAAAUGAUUGGGUGUGGUGAGGGGAUUUUAGAUUUCUCUUAUCAGUGAUGAGAGGUUCAUGAUGUUCUUGCUUUCUUUUCACCCAUA